GCCAGGCUUGAUGUCUGACAAGAGAAGAUCAUAAUUGUCCGGGCAUGUAAAAAGACAACAGAAGAGAGGAGGCAAUAGGAUAAAGCAGGUCCAUCAGCCUCCAACAUUGGUUUCAUCCAAGAAGCUGACAGGUCUACCUGUGCCUGUUGAAGUGGAGAGCAGUACCAUCGUGCUUACCAUCACACCUGGCUUUCCAGUUUCUACUCCUCCAGUGGAUCCAGCUGACUGGACAUCUGUCCUUAAUGACCAGUUAUAGGUUGAUGUGGUGAGCUGUAAAACCGACACAGGUUGACAGAGACAUUUUGACUUUUCUAAAAAGACACCCAGACAGUAAAAGUCUUUUCUAUCUUUACAUGUUUAGAUCACUCAUAAAGAAGCUGGUUGAGAAAAAUGAUGCUAUCAACUGUUUUGUAGUUUUUGUCUCUUAAUCUCUUGUCUGGCUUUUAAU